rnacentral:rRNA from 1 species
GCCCGCUCAGAAACUCAAAGGAAGUUGACGGGGCCCGGCGACAAGCGGUGGAGUAUGUGGUUUAAUUCGAUGCAACGCGAAGAACCUUACCUGGUCUUGACAUCCCGGAGACCCUUAGGAAACUAGGGGUGCUUCCAUCUGGAAGAAUCUGGAGACAGGUGCUGCAUGGCUGUCGUCAGCUCGUGUCGUGAGAUGUUGGGUUAAGUCCCGCAACGAGCGCAACCCUUGCCUUUAGUUACCAGCAGUUCGGCUGGGCACUCUAAAGGGACUGCCGGUGUUAAACCGGAGGAAGGUGGGGAUGACGUCAAGUCCUCAUGGCCUUUAUGACCAGGGCUACACACGUACUACAAUGGCCGAUACAAAGGGCAGCGACACUGCGAGGUGAAGCCAAUCCCGUAAAAUCGGUCUCAGUCCGGAUUGGAGUCUGCAACUCGACUCCAUGAAGUUGGAAUCGCUAGUAAUCGUGGAUCAGCAUGCCACGGUGAAUACGUUCCCGGGCCUU